CAGGAUUCAUACUCUCCCUCCACCAUAUCAACACCUUCCAGAUGUCUCAGAGGUGCGUCUAGAUCUGCAAUGGCGCCAGGCUACCACCCUACUUCUCAACAAUUCUCUGAGGUGACAUACAUAAAUGGGGGAGACCUUUCCUUGUAACUACGACAAAAAAACGUGCUAGACCGAAGAAUAUGAUAGAUUUUGCCGAGAAAUGAGGCAAUGGCCUUGGAUUCAUUCUCUUCCUGAGGUGAAUCCGGAGAAUCUUUCCCAUUGGGAAAAUAUGCAGAUGUUCAAAUAGUAAGCACAUUAACUUGAUACUCAAAAGGGAAAAAAUAACAUAAAGUUGUUUGUUAACUGCCGAAAAAGUAAGCUCAUGGAUGAAUGAAAAUAUGUAGCAAAUUACAUCAACAUGUAAAUGCCAAUCUUAUUAACUUUUCAUGGCCUUAUUUUUGUUGAAGCAAGCUUUUGGCAAAUAUAUAUAUAUGUUUGUUCUAUGUUUUCUUACUAAAUAAACUAUAUCAAAACCUUUUAUAAAGCCUAUGUAUUUAGAAAAUUAUAAAAUUCAUACUAGUUAAUUAGCUUAGCAACAGCAGUAAUAACAAAUUCAUACAAGUUUGUUUCAACUAAAAAUAGGCCAGAACAAAUAGAUAGGAUUGGAAACCUACCUAUAAUGAUAUAAUAUGUCAUCAUUUUCUUGAUCCCAACAGGAGAAAUUGUUGAUACUAGAUGUUGUCUCCACUAUGCGGAUAGUGUUUUGAAUUUCACUCUUAAUUCUUUAUUUUGCGCAAUGGGUCAUGUUUCUCCAAAUCAACCUUUUCUUUUGUUGUUAGCAAUAUCUUAUUUCAAUGCAAAGCAAAAUGCAUCAAAAGGUUUUUCCUCUAUAGCUAUAACAAAUCCCUCAAUUUAGACUUGAUUAGCACAUUGGUCCCGACCGUCAUGGCCUAAAACCUUAAUGUAAUUAAUGGACCUUAUUUUCUACUAAUUUUUAGAUUCUAUUUUUUUUUCCAAUUUUCACUUGUCGAGCUAUCUUGGUUCUGUAGUUGGGUUAGAGAAUAUUCAAUCCAUAUAUCAAAUUUCAUCUUUUCUUUUUCCCUGUUUUCAUCUUUAUCUACUUUAUUUUGUAGAAGAUGAAUCUAUGAUGAGGCUUUUUCUUUUAUUGUUCAUUAUUGAGGAACUUUACUAUAAGGAGGUACAACUUAUUGAUUCAACCUCAUUUAAAAUAUAAGUGUCUUCACUAAAUAAGUUACAUCUUAACUGUCAUGAUAAAAGAGUUCAAAUGGACACCUUUUUUUUUUUAGUAUAGUUGGAUGCAAUAAACUAAAGUUUGCAACUCAUUGGUUGAUAACGUGUUUAACUUUGUACAAACACGUGUGAAUAUAUAUUUUGAUCAACGUGAAAAAACCAUGUCUAAGUUUUUCUAUAUGAUUUGUCAAACUAAA